rnacentral:rRNA from 1 species
AUUGAACGCUGGCGGCAUGCCUUACACAUGCAAGUCGAACGGUAACGCGGGGCAACCUGGCGACGAGUGGCGAACGGGUGAGUAAUACAUCGGAACGUGCCCAGGAGGGGGGGAUAGCCCGGCGAAAGCCGGAUUAAUACCGCAUACGACCUACGGGUGAAAGCGGGGGAUCGCAAGACAUCGCGCUAUUGGAGCGGCCGAUGGCAGAUUAGCUAGUUGGUGGGGUAAAGGCCUACCAAGGCGACGAUCUGUAGCUGGUCUGAGAGGACGACCAGCCACACUGGGACUGAGACACGGCCCAGACUCCUACGGGAGGCAGCAGUGGGGAAUUUUGGACAAUGGGGGCAACCCUGAUCCAGCCAUGCCGCGUGCGGGAAGAAGGCCUUCGGGUUGUAAACCGCUUUUGUCGGGGAAGAAACGGUCUGCGCUAAUACCGCGGACUAAUGACGGUACCCGAAGAAUAAGCACCGGCUAACUACGUGCCAGCAGCCGCCGUAACAC